rnacentral:rRNA from 1 species
CACUCCUACGGGAGGCAGCAGUGGGGAAUUUUGGACAAUGGGCGAAAGCCUGAUCCAGCCAUGCCGCGUGCAGGAUGAAGGCCUUCGGGUUGUAAACUGCUUUUGUACGGAACGAAACGGCCUUUUCUAAUAACGAGGGCUAAUGACGGUACCGUAAGAAUAAGCACCGGCUAACUACGUGCCAGCAGCCGCGGUAAUACGUAGGGUGCAAGCGUUAAUCGGAAUUACUGGGCGUAAGGCGUGCGCAGGCGGUUAUGUAAGACAGUUGUGAAAUCCCCGGGCUCAACCUGGGAACUGCAUCUGUGACUGCAUAGCUAGAGUACGGUAGAGGGGGAUGGAAUUCCGCGUGUAGCAGUGAGAUGCGUAGAGAUGCGGAGGAACACCGAUGGCGAAGGCAAUCCCCUGGACCUGUACUGACGCUCAUGCACGAAAGCGUGGGGAGCAAACAGGAUUAGAAACCCUGGUAGUCCCAUG